AUUGAACGCUGGCGGCAUGCCUUACACAUGCAAGUCGAACGGCAGCACGGACUUCGGUCUGGUGGCGAGUGGCGAACGGGUGAGUAAUAUAUCGGAACAUACCUUGUAGUGGGGGAUAACUAUCCGAAAGGAUAGCUAAUACCGCAUACGCUCUAAGGAGGAAAGUGGGGGAUCGCAAGGCCUCAGGCUAUAAGAGUGGCCGAUAUCUGAUUAGCUAGUUGGUGAGGUAAAGGCUCACCAAGGCAACGAUCAGUAGCUGGUCUGAGAGGACGACCAGCCACACUGGAACUGAGACACGGUCCAGACUCCUACGGGAGGCAGCAGUGGGGAAUUUUGGACAAUGGGGGCAACCCUGAUCCAGCAAUGCCGCGUGAGUGAAGAAGGCCUUCGGGUUGUAAAGCUCUUUUGUCAGGGAAGAAACGGUUGUGGCUAAUAUCCAUGGCUAAUGACGGUACCUGAAGAAUAAGCACCGGCUAACUACGUGCCAGCAGCCGCAGUAAAAC
rnacentral:rRNA from 1 species